GUCCCUUCGGGGACAUCUGAUAAAAUUGGAAUGAUGCGGAGAAGAUUGGCGUGGCCCUGCUUAAGGAUGACACGCACAAAUUGAGAAAUACGAGAGUAAUCA